UACGAAGGGGACUAGCGUUGUUCGGAAUCACUGGGCGUAAAGCGCACGUAGGCGGAUUCGUAAGUCAGGGGUGAAAUCCCGGGGCUCAACCUCGGAACUGCCUUUGAUACUGCAGGUCUUGAGUCCGAUAGAGGUGGGUGGAAUUCCUAGUGUAGAGGUGAAAUUCGUAGAUAUUAGGAAGAACACCGGUGGCGAAGGCGGCCCACUGGAUCGGUACUGACGCUGAGGUGCGAAAGCGUGGGGAGCAAACAGG
rnacentral:rRNA from 1 species